UACGGCUCAGUAACACGUAGAUAAUUUGCCCUUAGGUGGAGGAUACCCUCGGGAAACUGAGAAUAAUACUCCAUAGAUCUAGACUGCUGGAAUGCUUUUAGAUUGAAAGAUUUAUCGCCUAAGGAUAAGUCUGCGGACUAUCAGGUUGUAGUCAGGGUAACUACCUGACUAGCCUACGACGGAUACGGGUAGUGAGAGCUUUAGCCCGGAGAUGAUAUCUGAGACACGAUAUCAGGCCCUACGGGGCGCAGCAGGCGCGAAAACUUCGCACUGUGCGAAAGCACGACGAGGGAAUCCCAAGUGCUGGCUCGUAAGAGUCAGCUGUUUCUCUGUCUAAAAAACAGGGAGAGUAAGAGCUGGGUAAGACGGGUGCCAGCAGCCGCGGUAAU
rnacentral:rRNA from 1 species